rnacentral:lncRNA from 1 species
CCUCUCAGGAGGAAACCUGAGGCAAAAUGUCUGUCUUCUAAUUUCUCUUUCUUUUUAAAAAAUUUUUAUUUAUUCGGCUGCACCAGGUCUUAGUUGCAGCAAGCAGGAUCUUUGAUCUUUAGUUGUGGCAUGCAGGAUUUAGUUCCCUGACCAGGGAUCAAACCCAGGCCACCAGCAUUUGCAGCAAGAGCCUUAGCCUCUGGACCACCAGGGAAGUCCCCAUCUUUUAAUUUCUUACAUGGUAAAAAGCAAGCACAACAUGGUUGACUGGCAUAACUUGCCAACUCUUCAAUUUUGUAGCACUUCCUGAAUACCUACUGUGUGUCCAGGUUUCUGCUGGAAGAGACAAGUCACCACCUGGUUCUGCCCUGAAGAGGACUGUUGGAAGAAAAAGCUUGGAGAAACCUGAGUGAAGCUUUGCAGUGGAUAGGAUGUGGGUUGGCCAGAGAGAGAGGUGUGCCGGGCAGCCGCGGGCCAGCCUAGUGAGUAAAUGGCUGAAGUGGGAAGUUUAUCUGGGCUACAGUUUAUUCAGGAGAUAGAGGAGAGGGAAUCAGGGUGGGGCCCACAUAGGAAUGCCUUGAAUAUCUGUUAAGUCUGAGGUUAACGCAGUUGAUGGGGAGGUAAUGUUGCAGAAUUCCCAGCAGGCAAUGUGCAGUGUGGCUCAAGAGGAAAGGAGCCUACAGACAGCAGUCCAAGAUCCGGGUUCUGAGGAUCUGGGAGAAGUAAGGGAUACAGCAAACACACUGGAUGGGAGUCCUGGGCUCUAGUCCUGGUUCUGCUGUAGGGCCUUGAACAAAUCACUUCUGGGCCUUUCCUUAACUCUAAAAUCUAAAAACCUUCUGCGACCUCUGCAAUCUGAUGCUCAAUAGAUACUUGAGUCCCCAGGAUAUUGGAAAUGAAGGGAAUCGCCAAUCUAAAGGAAACUGCGAACCAGGAAGUGCCUGAUCGAGAGUCCAGGGUUAAAGAGCGAGGAGAGACUGCAGAGGGUCCAGCGAGGAGAAAUGGGGAACUGCGCGGGUGGGGGUGGGAGGCAGAGAAGUUGCAGAUGAGCACAGAGAUCUCAGCUUCACAACUCUGAGCCGUCAGUGUUUGCACUUAAUAGAAUACCUCUGGGUUUCCUAAGCACUUUUCGGCUUUUUGUAAUGGACUGGAAAAUUUGAGCAAUGCUGUUACUGGUUAAGUAUUUUUGUUUUUUUGAGAUUCGUCUUAAAGAUGACAUUGGGGCUUUACUGGAAACCCUCCCACCUCCAAACUGGCAGAGACCCCUCCCACCCAGUAUAGGAAACUGAUAGCUCAGUGUCCAGGACGGCUGAUCUAUGGGCUCUGGAAGAAGUAACUCCAGCCUGUUCACAGCAGNNNNNNNNNNNNNNNNNNNNNNNNNNNNNNNNNNNNNNNNNNNNNNNNNNNNNNNNNNNNNNNNNAAGUAACUCCAGCCUGUUCACAGCAGGGGAAUGGAGUGACUCAAAAGGGGAGGGUGCAUCACAGUCACGGUUCCUGUGAUGUGAAAGGUGUGCUUUUUGUGAUAUGAUUUGAUGGUGAUUUCAUUUACAAGGCAUUCAGUUAGCAAUGCGGAAAGUUCUCACUGCCUUUCUCCCCCUUGUUUUUAAAGUUCAUCCAUACUUUUAGUAAUUACUUUUUAAUACCUACUAUUUUUGAGGCACUGGGUAGACAGCAUAAAUGGUGAUCCCUGCUUUCAGGAAGCCCAGAGCCUUCUGGGGAGAUAGACAGUAAACACACCAUGAAUAUUCAUUGGAAGGACUGAUGCUGAAGCUGAAGCUUUAAUACUUU